rnacentral:rRNA from 1 species
UACGUAGGUGGCAAGCGUUAUCCGGAAUUAUUGGGCGUAAAGAGCGCGCAGGUGGUUGAUUAAGUCUGAUGUGAAAGCCCACGGCUUAACCGUGGAGGGUCAUUGGAAACUGGUCGACUUGAGUGCAGAAGAGGGAAGUGGAAUUCCUAGUGUAGCGGUGGAAUGCUCAGAUAUUAGGAAGAACACCAGUGGCGAAGGCGGCUUCCUGGCCUGUACCUGACGCUGAGAGGCGAAAGCUAGGGUAGCAAACGGGCUUAGAUACCCCGGUAGU